rfam:Trichomonas vaginalis G3, whole genome shotgun sequence.
CACUUAGGUCAUAGAUUAAGCCAUGCAAGUGUUAGUUCAGGUAACGAAACUGCGAAUAGCUCAUUAAUACGCUCAGAAUCUAUUUGGCGGCGACCAACAGGUCUUAAAUGGAUAGCAGCAGCAACUCUGGUGCUAAUACAUGCGAUUGUUUCUCCAGAUGUGAAUUAUGGAGGAAAAGUUGACCUCAUCAGAGGCACGCCAUUCGACUGAGUGACCUAUCAGCUUGUACUUAGGGUCUUUACCUAGGUAGGCUAUCACGGGUAACGGGCGGUUACCGUCGGACUGCCGGAGAAGGCGCCUGAGAGAUAGCGACUAUAUCCACGGGUAGCAGCAGGCGCGAAACUUUCCCACUCGAGACUUUCGGAGGAGGUAAUGACCAGUUCCAUUGGUGCCUUUUGGUACUGUGGAUAGGGGUACGGUUUUCCACCGUACCGAAACCUAGCAGAGGGCCAGUCUGGUGCCAGCAGCUGCGGUAAUUCCAGCUCUGCGAGUUUGCUCCCAUAUUGUUGCAGUUAAAACGCCCGUAGUCUGAAUUGGCCAGCAAUGGUCGUACGUAUUUUUACGUUCACUGUGAACAAAUCAGGACGCUUAGAGUAUGGCCACAUGAAUGACUCAGCGCAGUAUGAAGUCUUUGUUUUCUUCCGAAAACAAGCUCAAUGAGAGCCAUCGGGGGUAGAUCUAUCUCAUGACGAGUGGUGGAAUACUUUGACUCAUGAGAGAGAAGCUGAGGCGAAGGCGUCUACCUAGAGGGUUUCUGUCGAUCAAGGGCGAGAGUAGGAGUAUCCAACAGGAUUAGAGACCCUGGUAGUUCCUACCUUAAACGAUGCCGACAGGAGUUUGUCAUUUGUUAAUGGCAGAAUCUUUGGAGAAAUCAUAGUUCUUGGGCUCUGGGGGAACUACGACCGCAAGGCUGAACUUGAAGGAUUUGACGG